AUAAAAUAAAUAAUAAGUAAAUAUAUUGUAUAAGAAAGAGAAAUAUUAUAUUAAACAUCUAUCGUAAUAUUAGAAUUUGAUAUAAAAUCAAAACAAUUAGAAUAAAUAAAUAUACAAUAUAAGAAAUAAUACAUAAUAAGUAAAUAUAAAAUAUUAGAUUUGGUAAAUAUUCAGAUAAUAAUCUAAAAAUAAUUUAUAAUUAAUUCUUUGACAAGUUUGAAAUUAAGAACACUUUAAUUUGACUAUAGUCAUACAUUAAAUGCAAAAUAUAGUAAAAAAGUUCUAUGAAUUUCAAAACUUUUCAAUUACUUUGGCAAGAAAAUCUUGUCAAUUAUUUGAUAUAUAAGUUAUUUGAUAAUUUUUAUCAGACUAUAAUAAUUUGGUUUUAAUUAUAUUAUAAAUAUAAUUAUCCAUAUAAUUUUAAACUUGGAUCAGAUGACUUUGAGUUGUUAAUUACACAAAAUCAUGAAGUUUUUAAGCAUAUCCUCAUAUUUGGAUAUAUAUAAUUAAUUUUUUGUUGACUGUAUUUUCUCAAUUUCACAUAUAAAUACUUCUUAAUUUUUUUUUAUGAAUCUUACUUAAUAAUCUACAUAUUUCUUCCAAAGAAGAAGAAAUAUUGUGAUGGAAGCUCUACGAACCGAUACUAAACAUGGUCGUUGUUGCGUUUGCAUCGAGAAAAACAAAAUAUGUACCAGAAAAUGUGAAUUUGCUGCAUAUUUUCCAAAUGAAGUGCAAGGCGAUUAUGAAGCUGCUACUAGAUUAUUUGGUACACCAAAUCUUGUAAGAAUGAUGAAACUUGCUCCUCAUGAACAAAAACAUUUGUUAGCAUCAUCGAUAUUCAAAGAAGGUGCUGCAUGGACCGAUGAUAAUAUCAGAGGUGGAUAUAGAGUGAUACAAAAGCUGAUUAGGGAAAUCAAAUUACAUGAAACCUAUCUUUCUAUGAUAAGGAAGAAGAUUUCAGAAGAAAAAAAAUUAGUUCUACUUUUACAUCAGUAUAUAUAUAAUGAAAUUUAACAAUCUUCAUUUAUCCAAGAAUAAUUACUCAAUGUUUAAUCAUAUCAAAUGUUGAAAUUUAAAACACACCAUGAGCAUAAUGUAAUUGUUGUGAGUUAAUCACUUAAUUGUGCAUGCGUUAUAGUGAUCAUAAAAGAAGACACACUUUGAAAAUGUGUAUUGAAAUUUAAAAAAAAACAAUCAUUGAACAACCAAUUCAGUAGUUAAUAAUUUCUUCUAUUAUACAUUUUCUAAUGAUAAUACAGUUAUGUGAGUUGCAAAUACAUUUAUGUAUACAAGCUUGACAAAUAAAAAUUUAUACUAAUAAAAGAGACCUUUUGAGGCUCCAUGGGAUGUCCACAUAAUCAAAAAAAUUUCUCCCGAAAAAUACCACGUGGCAUUAAUUCUAAAAAAUAAAAAGUAAAUAUACAA